CUCCCCUCACGCGUGCCCUAACCGGCGCUGCGAGUAGUUUCUCCUCUCUUAUUUUUCCUCCCGAGCUCGAUCUUCUUUCCCUCAUCUUCUCCAGUCGUCGUUCCCAUCUCUCCCCCAUCCUGUUCCUCUCCUCCGCGCGGUGCCAAACCAUCAUCUUCCCUGAUCUUCACCGGAAACCAAGACGCCGAUUCCUUGCCUGUUGACACCAUCCUCACCGACCGACCAGAGCCGAGGAAAAGCCGAUCUCUUCCUCACGCGAUUGUGCUCUGCCCUAGCACCGACCGCGAUUUCCUCUGCCUGACACCGACCCUCAUCUCCUCUCCUCGGUGUCGCCGGCACAUAUCUGGUCUCUUUCAUUUCCGCCGCCACACGGGACAGCGCCAACUUCUCCACACCGAGCCCUAGUUCCUGAUUCGUGGUCGCCGCUGCACAGAGCAAUGCCGACCAUCUCUGGAAAUUUCCUGUUCGCGUGCCCUAGAUUUCCUCUUGCUGCUGGAUCUGAACAAAACAACAAUGAUGGUAUCAGGAAAGUGCCACGGUUCUUAUUGUUUGGUGCUUUUCUUGGUUUCCAGCAGCGUUCCUAUUCCUGCAGCAACUCCUUCCAACAUCAACGAUAGCUAGAAAUUGAGCCACUGGAUCCGGCUAUAACCUUCUCUAGCAGUGGGUUGAUGCUAUCAGGAGAGAGUUCCAGUUGCUAGUCCCCUGCAGACCACGAAAAUGUUGGAUGAUCUUUUAGUUUUAUUGUUUUGACUAUGUCCGUCUUAUUCUGGUUUUGAUACUAUGGAUUUUUGAUACUAUGGAUCUGGUAUGACUGUAUGUGUCGAUGGUUUUGGUGUUGGGAUAUGUUUUACUACAUGUCUGCUUGGACGGCAGAAGAGGUAAGUUGAUCUUAUUGUCGGAUUUGAGCUUUAUGA